rnacentral:rRNA from 1 species
GAUGAACGCUGGCUACAGGCUUAACACAUGCAAGUCGAGGGGAAACGACGGGGAAGCUUGCUUCCCCGGGCGUCGACCGGCGCACGGGUGAGUAACGCGUAUCCAACCUGCCUCUGACUGAGGGAUAACCCGUCGAAAGUCGGCCUAAUACCUCAUGGCAUCGUCUGCGGGCAUCCAACGACGAUUAAAGAUUUCAUCGGUCAGGGAUGGGGAUGCGUCUGAUUAGCUUGUUGGCGGGGUAACGGCCCACCCAGGCUACGAUCCGUAGGGGGUCUGAGAGGAAGGUCCCCCACAUUGGAACUGAGACACGGGCCAAACGCCUACGGGAGGCAGCAGUGAGGAAUAUUCGUCAAUGGGCGGGAGCCUGAACCAGCCAAGUAGCGUGCAGGAUGACGGCCCUAUGGGUUGUAAACUGCUUUUAUGCGGGGAUAAAGUGAGGGACGUGUCCUUCAUUGCAGGUACCGCAUGAAUAAGGACCGGCUAAUUCCGUG